rnacentral:rRNA from 1 species
UAGGGAAGUCUUCCACAAUGGACGCAAGUCUGAUGGAGCAACGCCGCGUGAGUGAAGAAGGUCUUCGGAUCGUAAAACUACUGUUGUUAGAGAAGAACACGAGUGAGAGUAACUGUUCAUUCGAUGACGGUAUCUAACCAGCAAGUCACGGCUAACUACGUGCCAG